AUUGAACGCUGGCGGCAUGCUUUACACAUGCAAGUCGAACGGUAACAGGCCUUCGGGUGCUGACGAGUGGCGAACGGGUGAGUAAUGCAUCGGAACGUGCCCAAUCGUGGGGGAUAACGUAGCGAAAGUUACGCUAAUACCGCAUAAGCCCUGAGGGGGAAAGUGGGGGACCGCAAGGCCUCACGCGAAUGGAGCGGCCGAUGUCAGAUUAGCUAGUUGGUGGGGUAAAGGCCCACCAAGGCGACGAUCUGUAGCGGGUCUGAGAGGAUGAUCCGCCACACUGGGACUGAGACACGGCCCAGACUCCUACGGGAGGCAGCAGUGGGGAAUUUUGGACAAUGGGCGCAAGCCUGAUCCAGCCAUGCCGCGUGCGGGACGAAGGCCU
rnacentral:rRNA from 1 species